rnacentral:rRNA from 1 species
CUAAUACAUGCAAGUCGAGCGAACGGACGAGAAGCUUGCUUCUCUGAUGUUAGCGGCGGACGGGUGAGUAACACGUGGAUAACCUACCUAUAAGACUGGGAUAACUUCGGGAAACCGGAGCUAAUACCGGAUAAUAUUUUGAACCGCAUGGUUCAAAAGUGAAAGACGGUCUUGCUGUCACUUAUAGAUGGAUCCGCGCUGCAUUAGCUAGUUGGUAAGGUAACGGCUUACCAAGGCAACGAUGCAUAGCCGACCUGAGAGGGUGAUCGGCCACACUGGAACUGAGACACGGUCCAGACUCCUACGGGAGGCAGCAGUAGGGAAUCUUCCGCAAUGGGCGAAAGCCUGACGGAGCAACGCCGCGUGAGUGAUGAAGGUCUUCGGAUCGUAAAACUCUGUUAUUAGGGAGGAACAUAUGUGUAAGUAACUGUGCACAUCUUGACGGUACCUAAUCAGAAAGCCACGGCUAACUACGUGCCAGCAGCCGCGGUAAUACGUAGGUGGCAAGCGUUAUCCGGAAUUAUUGGGCGUAAAGCGCGCGUAGGCGGUUUUUUAAGUCUGAUGUGAAAGCCCACGGCUCAACCGUGGAGGGUCAUUGGAAACUGGAAAACUUGAGUGCAGAAGAGGAAAGUGGAAUUCCAUGUGUAGCGGUGAAAUGCGCAGAGAUAUGGAGGAACACCAGUGGCGAAGGCGACUUUCUGGUCUGUAACU